AAUAAAUCCAAGCAUAUUGGAAAUUAUUUUUAUAUAAGUAUAAAUGAAUAAAACAAUACAGGUAAAAGACCAAUACGGUUGAAUUGUCAGACCACAUUACAUACUAAACAUCCAGCCACUGUAUAUAUUGCUUGUAAAAGAUGCACCUGACCUAAGGAUAUAGAAAGUUGGAAAGUAAAAGGAUGGACAGUGAUGUACUGGGAAAAUACUAACCACGAAAACAACUUGGUGUGGCUAUAUUUAUAUCAGACCAAAUAAAUUUUAAGGCAAAAGGAAUGACCAACAUUUCAUUUUAGCAGGAAGACAAAACUACGAGGAGAAGAAGACAAGUUCACCAUCACGGAGGAGCAGUCUUUGGGCUUGAACAGAAGACUCUCAGCUUCACCCCUGCAAAUGAGAAUUUGGUCAGGCCUGAGGGAUGGGCAUGUUGAGCCCGAGGCACUUGCAUAACUGUGGAGUGAAAGGACAAGAGCUGGGGGUGCCCAUAAGAGCUUGCCAGCUGACGACACAAGCGACAAGGAGCCCCCUGGACAGCUCAGCCCACUGCGGUUCAGCUGCACCCCUUGGAGCCACGCAGUCGAAGAUGGAGAAACCUCACCUGUUAGGAAAUUAAGGUUUUCUGGCCGCCACCCCCUCCGCCGGCUGCUGCCUCUGCGUGCCCUGGCUUCCCACGUCUCGGGAGUGGGGCCCCAGGGUACACAGGUUUGCCACCCCCUCCUUCCAGUUACUCAGACCAAAACCCCGAGACAGAGCUCUGAUUCUUCUCUUCCUCUGCCAUUUAUUCCAUGAGCAGACGUCUUCGGCUGUCUCUUCACAAUAUAUCCCCAGUCUCACCACUGACCACACCCUCCGCUGCCACCCUGGUUCAGGCUGUCAUCCCCAUCGCUCGCCUGUGUCCCUGAACGAUCUCCUCCUGUCUGAUCCCCCUGCUACUCCUGUUGCCCCUUCAGUCUGUUCUCCACAUGGCGGCCAGAAUGGUCCCGUUAGAACCUAAGUAGUCACAUCCCUCCUCUCCUCAAAACCCCGCGACCUCCCCGUCUCUUGUCGAUGCCACAGUCCUUACCGUGGCCUGCAGGCUCUACUGUGUUGGCUUCCUCUCCCUGUCACUCUCUGACCUCAUGUCCUGCUCCUCUCUCUCCCCUCGUUACUUGGGACACUUCUCUGGAGGGUGCGAUUUGCUGAUGCCUUUCAGAAUGAAAAACCCCAUACCAUCUGGUCCAACACGCUGACAUCUAUGAGUUUAUUAUAUGGAUGUACUUUCCCGUGUGCAUGAAGUAUAUCCUCACAGUGUUCUUUGUCUGUUUGUUCUGUGAUAAUAAAAGACUGGGAACAACUUG